rnacentral:rRNA from 1 species
CCCGCUGAACUUAAGCAUAUCAAUAAGCGGAGGAAAAGAAACCAACAGGGAUUGCCUCAGUAACGGCGAGUGAAGCGGCAACAGCUCAAAUUUGAAAUCUCCUUCGGGCGAGUUGUAAUUUGGAGAGGAUGCUUCGGAGUCGCCUCGGUCCAAGUUCCUUGGAACAGGACGUCGCAGAGGGUGAGAAUCCCGUACGCGGCCGAGUGCUCAUCCGUGUGAAGCUCCUUCGACGAGUCGAGUUGUUUGGGAAUGCAGCUCUAAAUGGGAGGUAUAUUUCUUCUAAAGCUAAAUACCGGCCAGAGACCGAUAGCGCACAAGUAGAGUGAUCGAAAGAUGAAAAGCACUUUGGAAAGAGAGUUAAAAAGUACGUGAAAUUGUUGAAAGGGAAGCGUUUGCGGCCAGACUUGAUCGCAGUUGCUCAGCCGGUCUUUGCCCGGUGCACUCUUCUGCGUCAGGCCAGCAUCAGUUCGGACGGUCGGACAAAGGCGUCGGGAACGUGGCUCCUCGGAGUGUUAUAGCCCUUCGCACAAUACGACCCGCCCGGACUGAGGACAGCGUUCGCUAGGAUGCUGGCGUAAUGGCAGCCAACGACCCGUCUUGAAACACGG